GAGUUUGAUCUUGGCUCAGAGUGAACGCUGGCGGCAGGCCUAACACAUGCAAGUCGAGCGGCAGCGCGGGGGCAACCCUGGCGGCGAGCGGCGGACGGGUGAGGAAUGCAUCGGAAUCUACCUCGUUGUGGGGGAUAACCUCGGGAAACCGGGACUAAUACCGCAUACGACCUACGGGUGAAAGUGGGGGACCGCAAGGCCUCACGCGAUGAGAUGAGCCGAUGCCGGAUUAGCUAGUUGGCGGGGUAAAGGCCCACCAAGGCGACGAUCCGUAGCUGGUCUGAGAGGAUGAUCAGCCACACUGGAACUGAGACACGGUCCAGACUCCUACGGGAGGCAGCAGUGGGGAAUAUUGGACAAUGGGCGCAAGCCUGAUCCAGCCAUGCCGCGUGUGUGAAGAAGGCCUUC
rnacentral:rRNA from 1 species